AGGUCAGGACCCGAGGCCUUCAUGAAUCAACAUGGAGGUCCCCUCCCAUUGACUCCUUCCUGUGUUCUGCUCAGAAUACCUGGAGUUGUCUUGGCUACCAUUUCCUUGGGGUGGGGCUGGGAAUGGAAUUGGAGACAAAGCAUUUUCUGUCAUGCAAGGGGUAGCUGGCUGUCCUGACAGGAGACAGGGAAUCUCUUGCUACCAGGUUGAGUUGGCUAGCCUGUGACAUCAGCCCAGAGGGAGUAGGAAGAAGAGUAUCUUUUGCCAAGACUUAAAUAGCACCAGGAAAUAACUCGGUACAGGAUCCACAUUCUGUGUACUCAUUCCUCCAUUGGCUGUUCUUUGGUGAGGAAUAAUCAUCUGAAGGAACCAUGCGAGGCCAGCGGAGCCUGCUGCUGGGCCCGGCCCGCCUCUGCCUCCGCCUCCUUCUGCUGCUGGGUUACAGGCGCCGCUGUCCACCUCUACUCCGGGGUCUAGUACAGCGCUGGCGCUACGGCAAGGUCUGCCUGCGCUCCCUGCUCUACAACUCCUUUGGGGGCAGUGACACCGCUGUUGAUGCUGCCUUUGAGCCUGUCUACUGGCUGGUAGACAAUGUGAUCCGCUGGUUUGGAGUGGUGUUCGUGGUCCUGGUGAUCGUGCUGACAGGCUCCAUUGUAGCUAUCGCCUACCUGUGUGUCCUGCCUCUCAUCCUCCGAACCUACUCAGUGCCACGACUCUGCUGGCAUUUCUUCUAUAGCCACUGGAAUCUGAUCCUGAUUGUCUUCCACUACUACCAGGCCAUCACCACUCCGCCUGGGUACCCACCCCAGGGCAGGAAUGAUAUCGCCACCGUCUCCAUCUGUAAGAAGUGCAUUUACCCC
rnacentral:sRNA from 1 species